rnacentral:rRNA from 1 species
AGAGUUUGAUCCUGGCUCAGAGCGAACGUUUGCGGCGGGCCUAACACAUGCAAGUCGAACGAGAAGCUAUCCUUUGGGGUAGUGGAAAGUGGCGCACGGGUGCGUAACACGUGGGUAAUCAACCCUUUAGACCAGGACAACCGAGGGAAACUUCGGCUAAUACUGGAUGUGGUAUCGGGGACUUCGGUCCCUGCUACGAAAGCUCCGCAAGGGGCGCUAGAGGACGAGCUCGCGGCCCAUCAGCUUGUUGGUAGGGUAAUGGCCUACCAAGGCAAAGACGGGUAGCUGGUCUGAGAGGAUGGUCAGCCACACUGGAACUGAGACACGGUCCAGACUCCUACGGGAGGCAGCAGUGGGGAAUAUUGCGCAAUGGGCGAAAGCCUGACGCAGCCACGCCGCGUGAGCGAUGAAGGUCUUCGGAUCGUAAAGCUCUGUGGGGGGAGAAGAAUCAAGUCGGUGAAGAGCCGGCCCUGACGGUAUCCCCUUAGCAAGCACCGGCUAACUCCGUGCCAGCAGCCGCGGUAAUACGGAGGGUGCAAACGUUGCUCGGAAUCAUUGGGCGUAAAGCACACGUAGGCGGCCAAGUAAGUUGGAUGUGAAAGCCCAGGGCUUAACCCUGGAAGUGCAUCCAAAACUGCAUGGCUUGAGUGCCGGAGGGGCUCAGAGAAUUCCCGGUGUAGAGGUGAAAUUUGUAGAUAUCGGGAGGAAUAUUAGUGGUGAAGGCGCUGGGCUGGACGGUAACUGACGCUGAGGUGUGAAAGCGUGGGGAGCAAACAGGAUUAGAUAUCCUGGUAGUCCACGCCGUAAACGAUGAGUGCUAGGCGGUGGGGGAGUUUUGACCCCUUCAUUGUCGAAGCUAACGCGUUAAGCACUCCGCCUGGGGAGUACGGUCGCAAGACUAAAACUCAAAGGAAUUGACGG